UGAUUACCUACACGUACAAUAGCGAGCCU
rnacentral:sRNA from 1 species